rnacentral:lncRNA from 1 species
GAGACGCACGCGUCUAAAUGCAGUCUGCACACACUCGCUCAGCCGGCCCCGGGCUAACUGUCUCAGGAGAGUGGCGUGUGCGCUGGGGUGCAGGGGGGCAGGAGAGAGGCGGAGACACACAGGACUGAGUCCUAGGCCACCAUGGACUCUCUGUGUGGCCUUGGGUGAGUUGAUUCCCUUCUCUGAGUCCGUCUCUUCCCCCAGAGACACGACCUGGAAAAUGGCAGACUUAAAUUUGCCCGAGACUGAGCAAGGGAUGUGGCUUCUUGGUCAUCUGAGUACGCUCUCAGCUGGUGGUCUGAUAACACCCCAACAGGCUGUGUAGGAUAAUGGUUAGAAACCCUCUAUUAGGGGAGUUCCCAUUGUGGCGCAGUGGUUAACGAAUCUGACUAGGAAUCAUGAGGUUGCGGGUUCGAUCCCUGGCCUUGCUCAGUGGGUUAAGGAUCCCGCGUUGCUGUGGCUCUGGCGUAGGGCAGUAGCUACAGCUCUGAUGAGACCCCUAGCCUGGGAACAUCCAUAUGCUGCAGGAUCUGCCCUAGAAAAGGCAAAAAGACCAAAAAAAAAAAAAAAAAAAAAAAAGGAAACCUUCUAUUAGGGGUCACAGACUUCCACGGAAAGCCAACUGCAUCACUUACAUAUCAGUGUCCCCAUCCAUGCAUAGAAUGGGCAGCUCUCCAGCGACACAGGGAGGAGGAUUUGAUGAGUUCAGGGAAGGAUGUCUGGAUGGGUUCCCAAGGAUGGGGCCGGGGAUGUGAAGCUCAUAAAGCACUGGUUUCCUCCCUUGCUUUCAUCCAUGGUUAAUUGCAAGAUUAACUCUUUGUGUGUGUGUGUGUGUGUGUGUGAGAGAGAGAGAGAGAGAGAGAGAGAGAGAGGGAGAGAGAGAGAGUUCCAAAGAGUGCAAGGGCAGGGAGAGGCUUACUUCUGUGAAAGACCACAUGAGGAAUGAGGUUGAGGAACCCCAGGAUGAAGGGGCCCAGCUCAUUGCCUGGAAGUCUGUAAGCUUCUACGGCUUUUAGAAGACAUAGCUCUUGCUCUUGAUUCUCUCACACGUUCCGCUGACUCUUUUCUCACCCUUCUCCUUCUCAGCCACAUCUGUUCCCUGAGGACCACCAGAGCCCUCCCUUUGUCUAGGGUCCUGCUGGGCCUCUCCUCCCGUCCCUUGGUCCUGGGCUAAGCCUGCUUCCUCCCCUCACUGGGCAGCACGGGAGUUUAGGGUUUGAAAAAGGAGACCCAUGUUCUGAUUCUGGUUUGCUAGUCACUGGCUGUGUGAUCUGGGACAGGUGACUUAGCGUCUCUGUGCUUCAGCUAACUCCUCCAUAAGAAGGACUAACAAAUGGACACCAUGGGGCUCUCAUAAAGAUGAAAUGAGCAAGUGUGUGUAAAACAGCGCAUAUUAAACCAUCAACAGGUGGACUGUUCUUCAGGUUAAGGCCUUGCAAGCUACUGGGUGUCUUUUUUUUUUCUUUUUUUCUUUUCUUCUUCUCAGGGCUGCACCUGUGGCAUAUGGAAGUUCCCAGGCUAGGGGGUCUUCUCUAGCCACAGCAGUGCCAGCUCCAGGUGGAAUCUACAGCUUGUGCUGAUGCCGGGAACUCCAGUUUUCUGAACUUUAACAGAGCCAGCUCCCUGCCUGGGCCAGUCGUGCUGGAAAUUGGAGAAUCAAAUGAGGAGAUGGCUCUGGGUGAACACGUGGUCAAGUAGAAGUUUCCCUGGAAAAGCAAGAGGUGAGGCAUCCAGGAAGGUCCUGUCUGGAUGUUUUCAACUGUCGCAGGCCUGUGGAUUGUCAGGGAAUGAUGCUGGCUCAGCCGUCUUCAGGGCACAAGGACUCGGGGCUGCAAAGGCACAUCCAGUGUGCAGGAGCUGGGUUCCACUGGGAAGGUUCCUCCGAAGGAGCAAGGCUUGAGCAAGGGAUGCGCAGUCCAAGCUGGACUCCAGCCAGCAGAGGGAGGAGGGGCAGAAGCUGUGUGAUGGCUGAGCAAACGGAUCUGAGCCCCCCACCCCCAGGCUUGACAUGCUUCCCCCUCCCCCCUCCUUCUCUUCCCAUCCCCCCACUCCUGGAAAAGUGAUUUUAUCCUGACCAGGCAGAAGAGAAAAUUCAACCCAGCAGCAUUUUACGUCAGUGUCUUUAAGAGCUGUGACAUCUUAAGAGAGCAAAAGAAAGAAGAUUCCAUCCACUUCAAAAAUCUUGAUUUCAAAAUGUAAAUACACAAAGAUAUAAUCAGAACUGAAGCAAGCAAAUGAAAACAUGUAAUCAACUCAUGUAAGCAUAGACGGAUGAAUUAAAGAGUGUGUGUGCGCAUGCGUGCGUGCGUGCGUGCGUGUGUGUGUGUGUGUGUGUGUGUGUGUGUGUGUGUACACACAUACAUAUAUAAGUUUUUUGGGUUUUUUUCCUUUUUAGGGCCACAACUGUGGCACAUGGAAGUUCCCAGGCUAGGGGUCGAACUGGAGCGGCAGCUGCCGGCCUGCACCACAGCCACAGCAACGCGGAAUCCAAGACCCUCCAUGACCUACACCACAGCUCACGGCAGUGCUGGAUCCUUAAGCCAAUGAAUAAGGCCAGGAAUGGAACCUUCAUCCUCAUGGAUACUAGUUGGGUCUGUUACAACUAGUUGGGUCUGUUACAAUGGGAACUCCCAAGGAAUGCGUAUGUUGUCAGAAUCCAGAGAUUGGGCUAGGGGGCUGGGGAGACAAGCCUUUGGUUUUUGUUUUUGUUUUUUUUUUUUAAGUCCAUGACAGAACCUGGAAACAGGAUUCAGGGAUGCCUCUGGGGCACCAACAAGAACUUAACCAAUGUCCCAGGAGAAAUUUCCUACUCUAAUCACUCAGCUAGUUGGGCUCAUAACUGCAACCCUGUGGGUCGGGAGCCCCAGUUCACCAGAAUAAUGGCUACACAUCUCUGAACUCCAGAAAGAUUUGGGUUACAUUUGGACAGCCUUAUGGGAAUGAAAACCAUAGUAUUUUAUUUUUCUGUUAUAUUCUUACUUGUAAUGCUAAGAUAAUUUUGCCUAUUAAAAUGAGAGUCUAAUCAUUAUAAUUUAAAAUGUAAUUGAAUAAUUAAUUUCCAUGUGUGGGUUUAAGUUGAAAUCUUACUAAGUUUAUGCUCAGUAAUAGAAUAGUUAAGAGAAUUUUAGGUUCCCCACACACACACAUUUAAUUGACUAGAUGUAAAAGAAUUAGUUAGGUACCCAGGGAGUUAAAAAGGAAAUCUAACAGAAGACUAAGAAUUCUUUUGAGAUGUACCAGAAGCUCAGAAAAGUCCCCAGAGUGAGCCUGAACCAGAUCAAGAAACAUAAUGUGGGAGUUCCUGUUGCAGCUCAGUAGGUUAAGGACCCGACAUCGUGUCCAUGAGGAUUCAGGUUUGAUCCCUGGCCUUGCUCAGUGGGUUGAGGAUCCAGCUCUGAAGCUGUGUGGGUCGAAGAUGUGGCUUGAAUCUGGUGUCGCCGGGGCUGUGGGGUGGGCUCAGCUGCAGCUCUGAUUAGACCCCUAGCCAUAUGCUGCUGGUGUGGCCGUUAAAAAAAAAAAGAGAGAGAGAGAGGAAAACAAGAAAUCUAAUGUUACUGGGAUCCCAGAAGCAUCCCUCCCCUUUGACUCUGUGUCUCCUCUAGUCCCUCCCUCCCCUCCCCCACCCCUGCAAGGAAAACCACUCACUCAAACCAUUAAAUUUAUAAAUACGCCAUGAAUUGUUUGAGGCAUGCUUAAUUAAUUACUUGCAUUUGUAAAUAGGACCAAAUGUCAUUCAAAGCCCUCUUAGAAGCGGUUGCUAAAAUCUGCUCUGUAUAAACAGAGAAAGAUUUGUUAGCAGAUUUCAAAGCUUAAGAGAGAACGGGGUUAAGACUUUGUCAGUUUAGUAAAUUGAACCAUAGUUAUUUAAACUCAAAGUAAACUUCUCAGUAGUCUUUUUUUGGGCACAACCACCGCUUGUGAAAUCGCCACAAGAUUUAAGUGAACAUUUGUCAAGUCUGGGGCAGGGUCAUAGUCCAAAGUAUUGAAAGAAUCUUCUUUAAAUUACACAUCAUGCCUCUGUACUUUCCUUAGGAAGAGGGCCCAUCCCCAAUUGCUAAAGCUUGCUUCCAAAGCCACAUCUUUAACUGGCAUUAAAUUACUUACAGUUUACUUCAAAAUGCUUCAGAUAGACCAUGUGACUUUUAAUCUAUACUCAAGGACAGUCCGUUAAAAAAGAGUACAGACUCCCAGGAUGGGUGAUUAGUAUUCGAAAGCCCACAAUUCAUAGGGGCAACUACAAGCAUUUCAGUUGUCUUUAUUUCCUAUAGGUCCUGGAGGGCUUGCUCUUUUGCAUAAGGGGCAUAGAAUGACUUUUGAUUGGUGAGUGCAGUGUGUAAGCAAUGUGUUGAUUGGCUGGGGAUACAAUCCGGGCACUGUCGCUCUUGUAGAACAAGGGCAUAGAAUUCAGGGGGUCCUGUAGUCUGUAGAAGGUCCUCUAGGUUCAAAAUUUCCACCUGCUCUUGUGCAUGACCUAUCAGUGGAGACUUUUGUUGCCUACCUACCUCUAGAAUCUACGCUGAAUUCAGCACAGAUACUGCUGCAUCUGUCUUGGGUAAAUCUUUCAUGCAAGAAACAUCUAACAGGACCAGACCUAGGACUUAAUGGAGUUCCAGAGCAGAAGUUUGGGGGCCUGCUUGGCAAUAUCUAACGUGUACUUGCUCAUAAAUGUGUGCUUGUGUGGCCAAAUUCAGUAUGAGACAUGCUUUUACACCUGGUACUCAGGUUGUUGGGCUGAAGAACAUGAGCCCCCAGUCCCUCUACUUGUCAAAUGUUGCUAUUUACUACAGUGGAUCCAAUAUUUGUGAAUGACCCAACUGGUUUAGCAGAGAAGCCAGGCUGUGGGCCAUAGGUAAAUGGGUCAGGUGGGAGGCCAUGGAGCAGGUUGGGAGACACAUUUUUGGGUGGGGACAUUCCUGGCCCAUUCCCAGGCUGUCAUCUGCUCCAGCUCUGGGUAGGGGUAUUUGGUGCUCAGCUUCCUCAGAUCCUUUGAAAACUUGCCCAAGGGGCUCUUGGCUUCAUCCCACACCAGGACCAAUCCCAUGCCAGGACCUGGAAGUUUGAGGGUGGGGUGGAUUGACUGCCUUAGAGUAGAGCCUGGGUUCCCUGUAGGAUCCUUCUGUCCUCUUAAACACUUGAUGUCAAAGGGUCUACGCCCACUUAUGUACAGCCCAGCUACCUAUUGGUGUGCAUUUCAGGGGCAGCCUCCAGGUUAGUGACGUCUCUUCAAAGUCUCCUUGGUGGUCCCUUUGGAAAUGGCUCUUUUGAAAAGGAGACAGCAGACACCUCCCUUCCUUUCUUUCAUCCCAACUGUGGAGCUUUCCAGGUCCAAACUGAGUACAAGCCAAUCAAGUGUGCAUUUCGUAAUUCAAUUCUCUGGGACCAAAACUUAACCUUAAAGGACACUGACUUUUUUUUUCCACUUCCUGUUUCCUCCCCGGCUGUAGCGAACAAGUUCAAAUGGCAGCCCUGAAGAAGAGGUUUUCUUUUGGUGGAAACCCUCAAGUUCAUUCCAGGCAGCUCCCUGGCCACACCAACAGUAAACCCCUCUCUCUGCCCCCCGCUGAAACCUCCAGGCACACAGAGCCCCAAGAGCUUCCAAAACACUCCAGACUCCGCAGCAAGAGCAGCUUUUUCCUUGGUGCGCCCCCCCACAACUGCCCCCCCAGGGCUCCCUCCACUCUGACAGCCCAGGGGUCCUGGCGCCGUCCUUCCCUCAAGCUGAGCCCUGGUCCCCAGCCGGCAGGGAGGUAGGUUUGUCUUCACAGCCAUCGGCUGCUCUCCUUGUCCUCCCAGCCAGCUGGCCAAUCAAGGCAUGGCGCCAGCCUUUGGUUACUUGGAGGAAAACAGCAUAGAAGACAUGGGGUGAGUGCGGAGGGAGUAGGGGAGCCUGACACGGGCCAUGUUUAGGAGACAAUUUUUUUCUUGUUGUUUGUUUUUUAGGACCGCACCCAUGGCAUGUGGAAGUUCCCAGGCUAGAGGUCAAAUCGGAGCUACAGCUGCCAGGCUGCCCCACAGCCACUGCAACGCCAGAUCUGAGCUGUGUCUGUGACCUACACCACAGCUCCCAGCAACACCAGAUGCCCAACCCACUGAGCGAGGCCAGGGAUCGACCCUGCAUCCUCAUGGAUACUAGUCAUAUUUGUUUCCACGGCACCACCAUGGGAACCCCAAGAGGAACAAUUUUCUUUUUCGGCUUUUGAGGGCCGCACCCAUGACAUAUGGAAGUGCCCAGGCUAGGGGUUGAAUGGGAGCUACAGUUGCUGGCCUACACCACAGCCGCAGCAACACGACAUGGGAUCUGAGCUGCACCUGGGACCUACACCACAGGUCACUGCAACACCAGAUCCCCAACCCCCUGAGCAAGGCCAGGGAUUGAACCCUCAUCCUCAUGGGUACUAGCCAGACUCGUUGCCUCUGAGCCACGACAGGAACUCCAAGGGGGACAAUUUGUAAAGGGAACAUGGAACUAUGCUGGUCAUUAGGACCCUGUGGGAGGCAACCGGCGUCAAAGAGCCCUGCCGGCAAAUGACUCUGUCGACCACUGAAUCUGGGAGCUGAGGAAAGGGGGUUAAAAGACCAUUUAUUUGUGCUCAACACCCCUCCAGCAGAAGGGGUAGGUCCUCCCUCAGCUGGUCUGGCUCCCACCUUUGCUUCCAUGCGUGCUGUCCUCUAUCUCCCGGCUCUGCCUCUGGGAGGUGCCAGGGGGUGGUCCCGGGCCUGGCCUCUCACACUCGCAGUUCACCUAGUGUAGGGAUGGCUUAUCCCGGGAGUUACUUCUCAACAGUAAGGGUCCCUUUAUCUGCAAUAUCCUUACACUCCCGAGUCCCCUAAUUAGGAACCAGGCCAUUUAGCCCAUUCGGAUGGGGCUCAGACUCUGUGCUUUGAAUCAUCGUUCACAUGAGGUGCUAUGAGUGUUCCUUCAGCUUUAAGGCUGUUGCAGAGUCCAGGAUCCUGAAAAGAGCAUGGCUUUUGUGUCUGGAAGACCUGGGUUUGAAUCUGAUCCCUUGAACUCCCUAGCUGUGUGACUUUGGGCAAGUCACUUAACCUCUCUGAGCCUCUAGUGCAUCCUCUGGAAUGUGGAGAUUUGCAGAACCAUCCUGAAGGGUCAGCAUCCUCGUGGACCCAGUCACUUUCCCGGUGCAUCCUGGCAUUCAGGAAGUGCUGGUCUCCUCCUCCCGCUCCUCUACCUGGGCAUGGAGGGGAGAGGGACCCCCAGGGUUGCAUGAUGAGUCAGCCUGGCUGGCUGGCUGGCUCUGGGACACGGGCUGCCUGGCAGAGCACAGCUGAGGGUGGACUUUGCCAGCCAGCCCGCUUCCGGCAGGGUUUCUGCAGCUGGAGAGGCCCUGGUCCCAGAAGGCAAAGGGGUCUCGGAGUCUCUAUCCCACUGUGGGGAGCAGCCCAACUCGGGGAGCCCUGGGGUGGAGGUGUGGGUGGGGGUGAGCAUUGCAGUGGAGGCUGCCACCCUUCUGAGCCAGCUGUCAUUAGUUGUUCUGGCUCAUAAUUGGGCUGUAACCACCCUUUGGGACCAUGAUUAUCUGUGAUUAGCCUCUUCGUGCCUGGGAAUGCUGAUCCUACACUACCCGCUCCUCCGCUGCCCCGGCCCUUCGGGGGUAACCUUCCAGAAGCAAUCAAACAAGAGCUUCUUGCUCAGAGAGAUCCACACAGCAAGCUCCUUCCUGCACUUUGCCAUGCCCAUGCCAGCACGACACCAGGAAAUAGAAUUGCUGAAUUGCUCUGUUUCUGAGCGGCGGGUGCCAGCUUCCUUCCUCUCUGGCCAGUGAGAGAUGCAGGCAUAUAAAAAGGAAAAUCCGGGGAGUUCCCAUCAUGGCUCAGCAGUUAAUGAACACGACUAAUAUCCAUGAGGUUGUGGGUUCGAUCCUUGGCCUUUCUCAGUGGGCUAGGGAUCCAGCGUUGCCAUGAGCUGUGAUGUAGGUCACAGACGCAGCUCAAAUCCCAUGUUGCUGUGGCUGUGGCUGUGGCACAGGCCAGCAGCGGCAGCUCCCAUUCUACCCCUAGCCUGGGAAAUUCCAUAUGUUGUGGGUGCGGCCCUAAAAGG